UUAAGUUCAGCGGGUAGUCCUACCUGAUUUGAGGUCAAGAAGUUCAUUAAUGUUGUCCAACAAGGGACUAUUAGCAGCUGAACUAGUCAGAGAGCAAUCAUCACAGUGUAGAUAAUUAUCACACUAGUGACGGGACUGCAAACGGUUCCGCUAAUGUAUUUCAGGAGAGCCGACCUCUUAAUAAAGGCCCGCAAACCCCC
rnacentral:misc_RNA from 1 species